CCGGCGGCGGCUCCCGAGCUCGGCGGUGCGGCCUUCCCCGCCCCCUCCUCCCUCCUCCCCCGCCCGCUUCCGCCCGGCUUAUUAUCCUCCUUAUUGACAAACAGAGCGGCCGCGGCGGCGACUCUCGGCGAGCAUUUGUAGCCAAGCCAUGGGAGACAAGAAGAGCCCGACCAGGCCGAAGCGGCAGCCGAAGCCGUCCUCGGAUGAGGGUUACUGGGACUGUAGCGUCUGCACCUUCCGGAACAGCGCCGAGGCCUUCAAGUGCAUGAUGUGCGAUGUGCGGAAGGGCACCUCCACCCGGGACAGCAAGGAAGGGGGGAAGCUGUUGUCCUACUCCACAGCCAGUCUUGGGGUUAGAGGAACCCUGAGAAAUAGAGUAGGUGGUGGCAGCUCAGAAGAGAAGAAACAGGCUGAAUACCUGGCACCUGGAAGAAGAAGGAAUAUAGUGCACAGGGGAGUUGGCCCAGGACAGAGAAGUGGGCCUAGUUUAAAAGAGGCUUGAGGCCCACAUGGGGGCCCCUGAUAUUUUUUUACCAGUACAUCUGAGCUCUUGUAGAUCCAAUUUUUAGUGGUGGAAACAUUACUUGAGGAGGACUCAGAGAAGCAUUGUCAUUUGGAUUGAAACUGAAGAGGCUCUGGGCAACUCACCAGAAGUCUAAGGGACUCUCUGUUCCUAAAAAUCCACAUUCUUUGAAGUUAUUGUGAAUGCCUCGAGGACCAAGGAACCGUUGAAAUUUCCAAUUUCAGGAAGUUCCAGUGGAUGCCCAUCAGGAAGAUUCUCAUGCUGGACAGAAGGGCAAGAGAGGUGGAUCUGUGAGGGAAAAGACCCAAUAGGAUAACUCAAGUUACUGAGAUAACACGAAGAGAGCCUGGUUACCAUUUGGUGGAACAAGCCUGCUGGCUCAAGCCUCUGCCCAGAAAUUUGAUUCAAUCUCUUUUCUGGACAGUCUGGAUGGAGGGAGUGACACAGUACAAAAUGUAAUAAAGGAAGUUGUCAAACCUUCAUUUGUUAUGGAAGGAAGACAUUCAGAGAUCCAUAUUACCUUGGGAGACCAAAUGAUGACUACACCUCAAUUGCAUUUUAUAUCUUGGAGUGACUCUCAAUUUUAGGAAACCUCGACCUGUCUCCCAGUUGGUUGCCCAGCAGGUUACUCAGCAGUUUGUGCCCCCUACACAGUCAAAGAAAGAGAAAAAAGAUAAAGUAGAAAAAGAAAAAAGUGAAAAGGAAACAACUAGCAAAAAGAACAGUCAUAAGAAAACCAGGCCAAGAUUGAAAAAUGUGGAUCGGAGUAGUGCUCAGCAUUUGGAAGUUACCGUUGGAGAUCUGACAGUCAUUAUUACAGACUUUAAGGAGAAAACAAAGUCACCGCCUGCAUCUAGUGCUGCUUCUGCAGAUCAACACAGUCAGAGUGGCUCUAGCUCUGAUAACACAGAGAGGGGAAUGUCCAGGUCAUCUUCACCCAGAGGAGAAGCCUCAUCAUUGAAUGGAGAAUCUCAUUAAAAUUUAUUUUCUCCAAUUUCUUAGUCACUUCUGUCAUAACAUGCAAAUACACAGAUUAUGCCAAGAAGUACCACAUUUUCAUGACAAACAUUCAUGCACAAUCCAUAAUUUGCAUUUUACACAAAAUAGAAAUUUGUUAGAAUUUGUUAGACUUUACUGCAAUCUAUGCCUACCAAACAUUUUCAGACUUCACAUUUUGGUCUCCGCGGUUCAAGGUGCCAUGAAAAUGUGGUUGAAUUAUUCAUUAUGCAGUGUUAUUGGUAAGUCUAUCUUCACUUUUAGUUUAGUGAAUUCUAACACAUAAUUCUUGAAUUCUCUACUAUUGGCAUGUAACGAAUUUAAAUUUUUAUAACAUAGUGCAAGCUGCCUAAAUAUGUAUUAUUUGAGAAUUGUGAAACAAAUAGUUAUAUGUAUACAAGUCAAAGAUCAACUUAAUCAACUAUUGCUGCAACAGGAUUUUCUUAAUGGUUAUCCUCUUAAAUACACCUGCUGGUACUUGGUGUGGUUAAAUAGGAAAAAUUGUUAUUAAAUAAAGAAUUUGUAUGAACCGUUGCCAAUGUUUUUGACACAUUUUACUAAAUUAUUGUUCCUGAAUUAUGUUUCUGGUUUUAUCUUUGUUUUUGUUUUUGUUUAUCUUUUAAAACAUACAUUAUUGUAAUGUUUACUAGCAGAGUGGUAAACAAUAAAACAUUGAUUAUUUAGCUUUAUAAUUCAGGUUUAGUGCUCUUGUCAUUGAACACUGGUAUUUUCUGUAUAAUAUAAAACUUUGAAGUUCAAAUAAUUAUAAGCAUUUGGCAAAAACAAAAGAAACCUGACGUAUUUUAAAGGCUGCAAUUUUGGAAAAGCUUUAACUUAAUAAUAGUUUAUCACUGUUGUGUUGCCCCAAACUUGUGCAGGGUCAUAGAAGUAUGAAUCCAAUUAAUACAGAAAUGGGAACUGUUGCACAGAACUGGGAAAUAACUAAUCUUAAAUCAGUUUAAUUGGCUUCUUAUUAAAUAUAAUGAUUCUUAUGAAAAUCAUAGUGCCCUAUUUUCAGACACAACUGCCAGUUUAUGUGUUUAUCAAUAUCCUGAAAUAAAAAAAGUAUUUACAGCCCCACUUACUUAUUAUGUAAAAUUACCAAUAAAAUAUUUUUAUGACUACAGAUUUUGCAUUUUUGUUCACAACUAAUAAUGUGUUUCAUAUUGUAUUUAAAAAUCCAACCUAGAAACCACACAUAUAGUACUUCUUAAAUUUUUCUGGGGUCUCCUGCUGCUUUUAGUCAUUUGCUUAAUAUAUAUCCACCUCUAGGAGACUUCUGAAAUAUAAAUUAAAAACAUAACUUGGAUGCAGAAUAUCACUUAAAAACACUAUGAUAGCAUUUGAAAAACAAAACAAAACAAAACAAAAAUAAAACAAAACUGUACAUCCUGACAGUUGUGAUAUAUUUGGUGGUUUCUCGUGGUAAUGUAAUUUUCUGUUUAAUUGCAGUACUUUUUCCAGGCACAAUGGGACUGUCUUUUUUGUAAGAUGCUAGUUGUGAAAUACAGUUAAUUGCAUACAGUAAAAGUCUGUGA